rnacentral:rRNA from 1 species
CUAUACAUGCAGUCGACGCUUUGUGGUUCAACUGAUUUGAAGAGCUUGCUCAGAUAUGAUGAUGGUAUUGCAAAGAGUGGCGAACGGGUGAGUAACACGUGGGAAACCUACCUCUUAGCAGGGGAUAACAUUUGGAAACAGAUGCUAAUACCGUAUAACAAUGACAACCGCAUGGUUGUUAUUUAAAAGAUGGUUCUGCUAUCACUAAGAGAUGGUCCCGCGGUGCAUUAGCUAGUUGGUAAGGUAAUGGCUUACCAAGGCGAUGAUGCAUAGCCGAGUUGAGAGACUGAUCGGCCACAAUGGGACUGAGACACGGCCCAUACUCCUACGGGAGGCAGCAGUAGGGAAUCUUCCACAAUGGGCGAAAGCCUGAUGGAGCAACGCCGCGUGUGUGAUGAAGGGUUUCGGCUCGUAUAACACUGUUGUAAGAGAAGAAUGACAUUGAGAGUAACUGUUCAAUGUGUGACGGUAUCUUACCAGAAAGGAACGGCUAAAUACGUGCCAGCAGCCGCGGUAAUACGUAUGUUCCAAGCGUUAUCCGGAUUUAUUGGGCGUAAAGCGAGCGCAGACGGUUAUUUAAGUCUGAAGUGAAAGCCCUCAGCUCAACUGAGGAAUUG